UACAGAGGGUGCGAGCGUUGUCCGGAAUCACUGGGCGUAAAGGGCGCGUAGGCGGCCUGGCAAGUCGGUGGUGAAAGCUCAGAGCUCAACUCUGAGUCGGCCAUCGAUACUGCUAUGGCUCGAGCCGACUAGAGGCAGAUGGAAUUCCGGGUGUAGCGGUGGAAUGCGUAGAGAUCCGGAAGAACACCGGUGGCGAAGGCGGUCUGCUGGGGUCGAACUGACGCUGAGGCGCGACAGCGUGGGGAGC
rnacentral:rRNA from 1 species